rnacentral:pre_miRNA from 1 species
AAAAAAAAAGGACCGUCGGUCUACCGAGCAGAAUAUCACCUGCUCGGUGGAAGAUCUUUCCCUUUGUCGU